AAUCGACUUUUCGUUUCACUGGUCUCGAGGAUAAUUCUUGUGCCUCAGUUACUCUUGGAGCGGAUGACCCACUUAUCAAAACUGUAUUCCAAGAGGAGCUAUUGCUGGCGUCAGCAACAGGAAAUGAAAAGGAAGGAAUGAAGGGAAGUGAAAAUCUGAUGGCGAGGGUGAAUGGGCGAGUUGCAAUGAGAUGAUUCAGCUUGUCAUUAACUUGACGCAUCUGUAGACUCUGAAGAGAGAAAUGUCGUCAUAAACGGAUUUCCUGUUCUGUUCUGCCAUUCAAGUGUUUAAUCGACGUCAUCGAGGUUCCGCAAGUGCCGAAACAUCGGGGCACCCGCAUCAAAAUUCAAUGACAAUUACAAAAAAAAAUUAUUCGAAAAAUAAAAAUGCGUCACACUCGGAUGACUCAAUGUAUUAUUCGACCACUCGAUUCGAUAUACGCGACAGCGAGAGAUUCCACGCAUUCAAUGACUCAACGCAGUGAUAAAGAUUAAUUUAGACAAUAACACAUCUGCAUAUUAUCUUGCAAAUAAUUCUCAAUUAAGACACUGAAACGAGAAUAGAAUUCAACAAAUGUUGCACGAAUGACAUUUUACAGAAAUUUAAUUCAAAUAUUGAUCUUUAAAUUAAGAACAUUUCGAGAUAAUACGAAGAUGUUUUUAUUUAAAUUUGUGUUAUAACAAUUAAUUAUUAAAAUGAUCUGAUUAUUUUUCCAU